rnacentral:rRNA from 1 species
AGAUAUAAYGGAGAGGRGURKCMAUGCASUAAAUCCGGAAGUAAYUGGGCGUCAAAGCGCACGCMGCGCGGUCUKUYCAAGUCGGAUGUUGAAAUCUCCCSGSGCUCCWACCUCGGGAACYGCAUCCKAAACUGGCAGSGCUAGAGUCYUGUAGAGGGGGUAGARUUCYCAGGUGUAGCGGUGAAAUGCGUAGAGAUCUGGAGGAAUACCGGUGGCGAAGRCGGCCCCCCYGGACAAAGACUGACGCUCAGGUGYGAAAGMGUGGGGAGCAAACASGAUUAGAUACCCUGGUAGUCCACGCCGUAAACGAUGUCGAUUUGGAGGUUGUGCCCYUGAGGSGUGGCUUCYGGAGCUAACGCGUUAAAUCGACCGCCUGGGGAGUACGGCCGCAAGGUUAAAACUCAAAUGAAUUGACGGGGGCCCGCACAAGCGGUGGAGCAUGUGGUUUAAUUYGAUGCAACGCGAAGAACCUUACCUGGUCUUGACAUCCACAGAACUUUCCAGAGAUGGAUUGGUGCCUUCGGGAACUGUGAGACAGGUGCUGCAUGGCUGUCGUCAGCUCGUGUUGUGAAAUGUUGGGUUAAGUCCCGCAACGAGCGCAACCCUUAUCYUUUGUUGCCAGCGGUUAGGCCGGGAACUCAAAGGAGACUGCCAGUGAUAAACUGGAGGAAGGUGGGGAUGACGUCAAGUCAUCAUGGCCCUUACGACCAGGGCUACACACGUGCUACAAUGGCAUAUACAAAGAGAAGCGACCUCGCGAGAGCAAGCGGACCUCAUAAAGUAUGUCGUAGUCCGGAUUGGAGUCUGCAACUCGACUCCAUGAAGUCGGAAUCGCUAGUAAUCGUAGAUCAGAAUGCUACGGUGAAUACGUUCCCGGGCCUUGUACACACCGCCCGUCACACCAUGGGAGUGGGUUGCAAAAGAAGUAGGUAGCUUAACCUUCGGGAGGGGSSGSYUUACCCACCUUGAGGG